rnacentral:rRNA from 1 species
GAUGAACGCUGGCGGCGUGCCUAAUACAUGCAAGUCGAGCGAACGGACGAGAAGCUUGCUUCUCUGAUGUUAGCGGCGGACGGGUGAGUAACACGUGGAUAACCUACCUAUAAGACUGGAAUAACUUCGGGAAACCGGAGCUAAUACCGGAUAAUAUUUUGCAUCGCAUGGUUCAAAAGUAAAAGACGGUCUUGCUGUCACUUAUAGAUGGACCCGCGCUGCAUUAGCUAGUUGGUAAGGUAACGGCUUACCCAGGCAACGAUGGAUAGCCGACCUGAGAGAGUGGACGGCCACACUGGAAGAGAGACACGGUCCAGACUCCUACGGGAGGCAGCAGUAGGGAAUCUUCCGCAAGGGGCGAGAGCCUGACGGAGCAACGCCGCGUGAGUGAUGAAGGUCUUCGGAUCGUAAAACUCUGUUAUUAGGGAAGAACAUAUGUGUAAGUAACUGUGCACAUCUUGACGGUACCUAAUCAGAAAGCCACGGCUAACUACGUG